rnacentral:rRNA from 1 species
UGGUGGAGUGAUUUGUCUGGUUAAUUCCGAUAACGAACGAGACUCUGUCCUGCUAACUAGGUUGUGUUUUCUCGGGUUGGUGUUUCUGGUGUUCCUUCUCGGGGCGCCGGCCCAAUCCACUUGUGAGCACAACACUCUUCUUAGAGGGACUGGCGGCUGUUAGCCGCACGAGAUAGAGCAAUAACA